rnacentral:rRNA from 1 species
UACAGAGGGUGCUAGCGUUGUUCGGAUUCAUUGGGCGUAAAGGGUGCGUAGGCGGCGCGGUAAGUCGGGCGUGAAAUCUCGGAGCUUAACUCCGAAACUGCAUUCGAUACUGCCGUGCUUGAGGACUGGAGAGGAGACUGGAAUUUACGGUGUAGCGGUGAAAUGCGUAGAUAUCGUAAGGAAGACCAGUGGCGAAGGCGGGUCUCUGGACAGUUCCUGACGCUGAGGCACGAAGGUCAGGGGAGCAAACGGG